GCAAGACUCAUUUUUGAAUGUCUCGAGUCCAUCAUACAUUGUGAUGGGAGAUAAACAAAGGAAUUAAUCAUAAGAUACACGUAGGAUGGAUGAAAUGAAAGAAUGUUUCAAGUGUGUUGAUUGAGUGACGCAUUAGGAAUUAUGAGAUGGUGAAUGAUUGUCACAUGAGAAAUGCUAGUAAUACUUUUAAGAGACAUAUUUUAUGAUCAGUCCAUUUUAAAAAAAAAAUGGCCGACUUACGAGGUAAGUGUGUUAGCUUGUAAAAUAAUAUAGACUAAUCAUAAAGUGUGUACCAGUGUUGUUUAAUAGUGGCACUAUAGCACAAUAGAAUUUGAACAAACCACUAUCAUCCUCAAUCCUUGAGAUGUCUAUUAGUGUUGUCAUAUAGCUGCUAUAGCAAUGUAGAAUUUCAAAUAGCAACUAUUUUAUGCGAUUUGCAAUUGACAACUCAUGCAUGUAUUAAUAGUGUUGGUAUUCCUUAGUGUCGCAUAUAUCAAGUUUGAACCUUUUUCUUUUUUAUGUACAUGUCAAUUUUUUGAACCUUAGAGCAUGUACAUAACAAAAUUGAUAUUUUUAAAGCAAAAUUUAAUUGCAUCCUUGUGAUAUUAAUGGGUUUGGUCCAGUUCACACUGGAGCAAGAUGGUUCAAUGAUAUGGUAAAUGUGCCAUUCCAAUCAAAAGCAUUUGUAGCUGGAGUUGUGGCAUAUUUCCUUGAUAACACACUGCAUAAGAAGGACUCUGCUAUUCGGAAAGAUAGAGGAAAGCAUUGGUGGGACAAGUACAGGUCCUUUAAAACCGACACAAGAAGUGAGGAGUUUUAUUCACUGCCUUUCAAUCUAAACAAAUACUUCCCAUCUGUGUAAUUUGGGUGGUUAAUUUCAUCAAAUAUUGCUUCACAAAGAGUCUCUAAAUCAAGUUCUCAAGUGCUAUAGAAUAGUCUGUUUUAUAAAUGUAAACAAAAAAACAUUUGUUUUAUUGUUUUUCGGUCUGUAAAUGCUGACCUGGGAAGGGAUUCACAGUACUAGUGUAUGCUUUAUUUAUCAUUUAUUUGAUAUUUAAUAUAUAGUUUAUAGUUUGAGAGCCUA